UGGAUUGUCACGGGUGAAUUUCGAACGACGAGGCGACGGCGACUGUGGAACAUUUCAGCAGGUGAAGGUAUUUUGUUCGCGACCGUAAAGUUUAAUCGCAAGAAAAUCCAGGCUCACGCUGCAGAACAGUGUGGAGAAUAAGUGAAAGUACCCCUAAGCCAAUUGAAGGCAACAAUUCCGUUCAUACGGGUCUACGUACGCAACGGGUAUUGAUAGAAGCAUCGCGAACGUAUAGGUGGAUAAAAUAAUCGUGCCAACGACGAUAUACCACGCUCGUUUAAAAUCUCAUUUCGACGACGACGACGACGACGACGACGACGGUAAUGAUGAACGCGGUGCGAAAUACUUCCUGUCACGAGCUAUUUAUUUCAUUUCCUUUUUUAUUUUUUUUUUUUUUCAUACACCUUUUGACUCGAUGAGACGAUCAAUCCUCUCCGGAUAGUCAAUUUUACCGUGCAUAUGAAAGUUCGAACAAAAAAGGAUAGGAAUCGUCGCGUACCUGUGUCUGUGGAAAAAAAAAAAAAUUCGUCCGUCCGGAUAAAUAUGAGAUUGAAAGUGAACGGAGCGGUAUACAAAUUUUGAAACGAAUUAAAUUGCGAAUCGCAGACACGCACACGAACCGAUAUAAUUAUAAAGCGAUCUCCAAACUGAUCGGUCUACCGUACGUACGUCAGACGCAAAGAAAUCCUCUCUCGAUUUUAUUUCAACGAAGCCGAUGAAGAGUCGGAACGGUUUUUAGGCGAACGUGAGUCGAAUGCGGUGGCUAUAGGUGCAGACGUAUCGAUAUUUUAUUUUUAUUUUACCCCGCACUUGUCGAUUCACGUGACGCGUUGAGGAUAUAGUUCAGUGGGACGUCCGCGCCCACCUCGGCAAAGAGGAUACACCUAGAUCCGUAAAAACGAAAUCACUUUAACCUGGAAUAGGGGUGGUGGGUCACCCGAUCGAUCGAAUCGACGGAGAAUUACGUAACGAGGAAUAC